rnacentral:rRNA from 1 species
GUGGGGAAUCUUGCGCAAUGGGCGAAAGCCUGACGCAGCCAUGCCGCGUGAAUGAUGAAGGUCUUAGGAUUGUAAAAUUCUUUCACCGGGGACGAUAAUGACGGUACCCGGAGAAGAAGCUCCGGCUAACUUCGUGCCAGCAGCCGCGGUAAUACGAAGGGGGCUAGCGUUGCUCGGAAUUACUGGGCGUAAAGGGCGCGUAGGCGGACAGCUUAGUCAGAGGUGAAAGCCCAGGGCUCAACCUUGGAAUUGCCUUUGAUACUGGCUGUCUUGAGUUUGGGAGAGGUGAGUGGAACUCCGAGUGUAGAGAUGAAAUUCGUAGAUAUUCGGAAGAACACCAGUGGCGAAGGCGACUCACUGGCCCAAUACUGACGCUGAGGCGCGAAAGCGUGGGGAGCAAACAGGAUUAGAUACCCGGGUAGUCC